AUGAAGCGUUCUCUACUUUCAAGCCAUUGCAUUUUCAUUUUGUCUGAAUCUAACACCCAUUUUCAUUGCCUUUAUUACAGGUAGAGCUAUUCGACUUAUCAAUGAUUGUGCAGCAAUUUUAUCGGUCGAUGUUCAUUACGCAUCUGAUUCCUCAAAAAGAAGUUUUUCACACCGAGCUGACAAGUUCUCAAAGUGGAUUAAAGACUGUCCCAUUUCUUCAACUGAGAAUUAUGGUGAAAUCUAUCAAAGAUUAUCAUGAUUUGGCCUGCAACUUUUGCCAAAUCUUGCUGUCAUAUCAAGCAACAGUUUGGUUAUUCAAAAGCUCAUGAUUACCGAUUCUUUUUCCAGAAUGUGUUCGAGUUGUUCAAAGCUAAAGCUAAAACUCUCAGCGCCCAUAGUUUCAACAAAAAUCUGCCGAUUCUACUCAGUAAAAUGGACCUGAAUCCACAGCACGGGCCUACACAAACAGUAUUUUUCAUUGCUUGAAACUAUUUAACAACAGAGGCGGGAUUCAGAGCUAUACCUUUGCUAUGUUCAUAUUGGUAGUCAAACCGAAGCAUUCAAGAGCUCAUGGGAUUCCGUGCUAUCUAUUAUCAAAGUUCAAGCGGUUAAGAUUUUCUACUUUUAGAAAGAGAGAAUAGUCCUUAAAGGCAAGACUUGGAGCUUCCACUUGCUCUGGCUUUGUCUUUAGGUAUAACUGCGUGAAACAUGAUUUGUCUCCAUCUUUCUUCUCUGUGUUGCUGAAAUAUUUAGUGAACAUAUUGAGAGUUAACAAAGCCCUGUGAUUGUUGUACUACACUGCAA